AGCGAACGCUGGCGGCAGGCCUAACACAUGCAAGUCGAGCGCCCGUAGCAAUACGGGAGCGGCAGACGGGAGAGUAACACGUGGGAACGUACCCUUCAGUUCGGAACAACCCAGGGAAACUUGGGCUAAUACCGAAUACGUCCGUAAGGAGAAAGAUUUAUCGCUGAAGGACCGGCCCGCGUCUGAUUAGCUAGUUGGUGAGGUAAUGGCUCACCAAGGCGACGAUCAGUAGCUGGUCGAGAGGAUGAUCAGCCUCACUGGGACUGAGACACGGCCCAGACUCCUACGGGAGGCAGCAGUGGGGAAUAUUGGACAAUGGGCGCAAGCCUGAUCCAGCCAUGCCGCGUGGGUGAUGAAGGCCCUAGGGUUGUAAAGCCCUUUCGGCGGGGAA
rnacentral:rRNA from 1 species